rnacentral:rRNA from 1 species
AAUAGAUACCCAGGUAGUCCUAGCCGUAAACGAUGAACACUAGGCGUAGUCGGUAUCGACCCCGGCUGUGCCGUAGCUAACGCAUUAAGUGUUCCGCCUGGGGAGUACGGCCGCAAGGCUAAAACUCAAAGGAAUUGACGGGGGGCCCGCACAAGCAGCGGAGCGUGUGGUUUAAUUCGUCGCAACGCGAAGAACCUUACCAGGGCUUGACAUGUGGCGGAAAACGGCGGAAACGUCGUCCUCCCGCAAGGGACCGUCAUGCAGGUGUUGCAUGGCUGUCGUCAGCUCGUGUCGUGAGAUGUUGGGUUAAGUCCCGCAACGAGCGCAACCCCCGUGGCAUGUUGUAUCUCUCAUGCCAGACUGCCGAGAGAAACUCGGAGGAAGGUGGGGAUGACGCCAAGUCAGCAUGGCCCUUACGUCCUGGGCUACACACACGCUACAAUGGCCGGUACAACGGGUUGCCAAACCGCGAGGUGGAGCUAAUCCCUUAAAGCCGGUCUCAGUUCGGAUUGCAGGCUGCAACUCGCCUGCA